AAGACGGCAUACGAGAUGCGCAUUAGUGACUGGAGUUCAGACGUGUGCUCUUCCGAUCUUAAUACCGGAGCACGUGGAACCCCGUGUGAAUCUGCCGAGACCACUCGGUAAGGCUAAAUACGACUUGUCACCGAUAGUGCAUCCAGUACCGUGAGGGAAAGGUGAAAAGAACCCCGGUUAGGGGAGUGAAAUAGAACCUGAAAUCGCACAACCUACAAACAGUCAAAGCACUAUGAUCGGAGCAAUCCGGUACUGUGUGAUGGCGUGCCUUUUGCAGAAUGAGCCUGCGAGUUGUUGGUAUUGGCAAGCUUAAGUGGUUCAGCCACGUAGGCGGAGGGAAACCGAGUCCGAAUAGGGCGUCAAGUCAGUACCAGCAGACCCGAAACUGCGUGAUCUAGCCAUGGCCAGGGUGAAGUGGUGGUAACACACCAUGGAGGCCCGAACUCAUUGACGUUGAAAAGUCUCGGGAUGAGCUGUGGUUAGUCCGGUGAAAUGCCAAUCGAACGCAGAGAUAGCUGGUUCUCCCCGAAAUGCAUUUGGGUGCAGCGUUAGGCGAUGUUCGUUGGGGGUAGAGCACUGAAUGGGCUAGGGGGCUUACCGGCUUACCGAACCCAACCAAACUCCGAAUACCAUCGAAUUAGCCUGGCAGUGAGACGGCGAGUGAUAAGAUCCGUCGUCAAAAGGGAAACAACCCAGACCGACAGCUAAGGGCCCUAAACGUGGACUAAGUGUGAAACGAUGUGAGAUCGCGUAAACAGCCAGGAGGUUGGCUUGGAAGCAGCCACCCUUUAAAAAGUGCGUAACAGCUUACUGGCCGAAUGUGAUCUUGCGCGGAUAAUGUAAGGGGGCUAAAGUCCACUCCCGAAGCUCCGGAAGCGCUUAGGCGCUUGGUAGGGGAGCGUCGUGUUCAGCGGUGAAGCUUGAGCGGAAGCACAGGUGGAGCGGACACGAGUGAGAAUGCAGGCAUGAGUAGCGAUAACAAAGGUGAGAAUCCUUUGCGCCGAAAACCCAAGGUUUCUCCGGCUAUGUUCGUCAGACGGAGGUUAGGCGGUCCCUAAGGUGAGGCCAGAAGGCGUAGCCGAUGGACAUCCGGUCGAAAUUCCGGACCCAGUGCAGUGGCAAUGGGAGGACGCUUCUUGAUUUUCCAUCCCGCACCGUUGGUAGUGGCGGGCUAGGAGGAGGCUGGUCCACUUGAGAGAGUGGAGGAAAGGCCGAAUCCGGGGAAUGAAUCCCUUCGGGGUGACAAAACUGGAAAUGAGGGGGGCCGAGAAAAGCCCCACAGCAAUACACUGUAUCUGACCGUACUGUAAACCGACACAGGUGGGUGAGUCGAGGAGACUAAGGCGUUCGAGAGAACUCUCGUUAAGGAACUAGGCAAAUUGACCCCGUAACUUCGGGAAAAGGGGUACCUCGCAAGAGGUCGCAGCAAAGCAGCCCAGGCGACUGUUUACCAAAAACACAGGUCUCUGCUAAGGCGAAAGCCGAGGUAUAGGGGCUGACGCCUGCCCAAUGCCAGUAGGUUAAUAGGAGAUGUCAGCGCAAGCGAAGCAUUGAAUUGAAGCCCUGGUGAAUGGCGGCCGUAACUCUAACGGUCCUAAGGUAGCGAAAUUCCUUGUCGGCUAAAUACCGACCCGCAUGAAAGGCGUAACGACUUGGGCACUGUCUCAACGAGAAGCUCGGUGAAAUUGUAGCACCCGUGAAGAUGCGGGUUAUGCGCAGUAGGACGGAAAGACCCCGUGGAGCUUUACUACACCCUGUCAUUGUGAAUUGGAUGUAGAUGUAGAGCGUAGGUGGGAGCUUCGGCACCAAUGGAACACCACCCUUCUGCAUCUGGUUCACUAACCCUCGCCCGGUAUCGUGACUGGGAA
rnacentral:rRNA from 1 species